CGCCCUUCCGGGCCGCGCGCACGUGAGCGCGCCGCUCCGCCUGUCUAAUUUUAGCUCUGAGGUGUCAGGGUCGUGCGAGAUGGUUUCCUGCAUGUCUGUGAGGAGUGGAGGAGGACAUGUCUGUCAUCCAGAGUAACCGGGUCAAGGAUGUGUGGUUAGAUUGGAAAGGAAGACAUCUGCUUGCAUCAGCUCAACUUUGAAGACAGGGGGUGCACUGACCCCCACCCUCUCUCCCAUCUCACAUGAGGAUGACCAGAGAGGGUUGGUGUUCGAGAUUUGCCAUAAUGUGUGGGAUCAGGAACCAGAUAAAAGUUUAGUGUUGAAGAAAUGAAUGCCAGGCACCUUGUAAAAUUGGCACCGCAGCCCUGUCAUCAGAAAGUGAGCUGUUCUUUUGACACACAGAGUUGUUUGCCAUGUCACAGUGACCUGCAUUCUGUUAGUGAGGGAGCCUCAGGUUUCACAUGGGUUGUCUCUGUAUAAGCUGUAAAAUGAUAGCCUCUGGCCUUUAUGGUAUUGGGAAACUUGAAGUGUUUAAUGAUAAAAGUGGUUUCUAAUGGUUGAGUGCUUCAGUUUCUUCUUUCCAACCCCCUAUCCCCACUUUUUAAAAGAAAGGUUAAUCGUGGAGAAUGUGACAAGAAUGAGAGAAUCUGGUGUGUUCUUUCGUUUGCAUUCCAAAAAUAAAUACAACCCUUCUGAGUUCAUAUGCAAACAUGGAUGUGCAAACAUUUUAGAACUUU
rnacentral:lncRNA from 1 species